CUAGAAUGGAAAGUUCCCUGGAGAGGCUGCGUUACAUAGAAGAAGGCAUGUGGAGACUUUUUGGAGAGAGAGGUUAAUGUCUUUCUUAUCUUCUCCCCGAACCCUGGCCUAGAAGCAUCGGGGUGAACAUUUGCUGUGACUUAACAGUAAGAGGACGGCCAGCCACGGUCAGACCCAGUGGGUAGCAGUCUGGGAACCGGAGGGAGCCUAGGGAGGAGCUGGCGUCUGCUCCCAGUUAUGUAAGGAAUUUCCCGCUCUGAAUCGCCAUGCCAAUAACCACAGCCUCAGCAGCUUGUCUCCUGGCCACCGUCCGUGAAUUUCCAAAAACACCUCAGAAGCAAUUUCACAUUUGUCUUUAACAGUCAAAUCCAGCCCAGGACCAGUUCAUUUCCGAAUCUGAUUUUGGACGGCUUACCUCAAAUGGCUCUGGGUGUCAGUGGAGAGGACACAAAGGCGUUCCAGUUGAAGACUUGGAUGCUCUUCCCUGGGACAGUGAACCUAGUGACAUUGGAACCAGGGUAUACGCCAAAGCCACGCCUGCCUUGCUGGCUUUUCCUGCCUCUCUGGUGACAGCUAGCCCUGCCUGAGCACUGAGGCAGCCUUAUAUUCUGGAACUUCUGGACUCCCUUCUCCCAGCCCUUGGCUCCUCUGAGUCUCCUACCUGCUCUUGUCUUCCAGCCUGCCAGCCCUGACAGGGUCUUUCUGUUAGGAGGAUGAGCUCAGCAAACAUCACCGGAGGAAGGGGGCAGGAAUGAGUUUCUGAGUGUCUGAUUCACACAUCCUGACAGUCUGAAACACGUGGCUAAGAAUCCAGGCCACCCUGUAUUCAAGGAGACGUGACAAGAGGUCCCCUUUGAGGCUGCCCACAGACACCUAGAGACAGUACCCCUCCAUAGGCACUGCCCCCACAUCGCUGGACUGGACCCUCCUGCCCCCUCACCGCCUCAGACGCCUCAAAGGGAAUGAAGUGUCGUCUGUGGUUGGAUCUAAUCACUGAAACAGCAUCUGAGUAAAUUUCCACUCAGCUUCAUUCACUCAAACCUUUCCUUCAGAUCUGGGAGGCAGGUUAAAUGGCUCUUGGGUAUCGAUAGGGAAGCUUUAGUUGUGAUAGAACGGUCCUAAGCCAGGGUGUUUGAGCUUCCUCCUUGAUGUAUGCGCAAGAGCAGCACAGGAAGCUAGUUUAUCUCCUUGACCUGAAGCAGGGCAGGGUCACUGUCCCCAGCAUUAUCCUGUGGGGAGCAGAGUUCAGUGGAAGCGCAAACAUGGGCCCAAUAAACCAUAGACUCUCAGACUGGGAGGGAUUUAGAGCUUAGAGAUCUGGACUCUGUUCUAUAGAUGAAGCUAAAGUUGUGGGGGUAAAGGAACUGGCUGAGGGGCAAAAGCCAGAUAGUGAUGGAGGUGGGAAAAGAGCAGAAAUGAUUGAGGGGACCCAGAGCAUAGGGCUGGCCAGAUCGGACUGACCACAUCACCACAUAUCCCACGAGGUACUCAGCCUAGUAUCACUGACAUUUUGGGCUGGAUGAUUCCUCACCAUGGGAGGCUGGUUGUCCUAAGCACGGGUGGUGGUGGUUUAGCUGUGUCCCUGGCCUCUAGAUACCAGUAAGAACUCUCACCCAAUCUAUGACAAACAGAUGUCUCUAGAUAUGACAAAUGUUCUCUGGGAGCAAAGUCAGCCCUGGUUGAAACAUGAUGUUCUUUUAGCUUAACAUUUCAAGAUGCACUGUGACAUUCUUACUGUUGGUAGGUCUGUCUCACAUUCCGGUCUGUAAUUCUUUCAGUGGAAGAUGACUCUUUAUUGA